rnacentral:misc_RNA from 1 species
UUUUGGGACAGCCACUUCUGCUUACCAGAUCGAAGGUGAAGCAACAACAAAGGGCAGAGGACCUAGUGUAUGGGACACAUUUUCCAAGGAGACUCCAGAAAGAAUAUUGGAUGGCAGCAAUGGAGACGUUGCAGUUGAUUUCUAUAAUCGCUUCAAAGAAGAUAUAGCAAAUGUGAAGAAUAUGGGUUUUAAAGGUUUCAGAAUGUCCAUUUCAUGGUCCAGAGUUAUACCUAGUGGAAGGAGACGUGAAGGAGUGAAUAAGGAAGGGAUUGAAUUUUACAAUAAUGUUAUCAAUGAAAUUAUAAGCAAUGGAUUGGAGCCUUUUGUUACUAUUUUUCAUUGGGACACUCCUCAAGCCCUAGAGGACAAGUAUGGUGGAUUUUUAAGUCGUGAUAUUGUGUAUGAUUAUUAUGAAUAUGCGAAUCUUCUUUUUGAAGAAUUUGGUGAUCGAGUGAAGUAUUGGAUGACUUUCAAUGAACCAUGGUCUCUUAGUGGAUUUUCCUAUGAUGAUGGGGUUUUUGCACCUGGUCGAUGCUCAUCUUGGGUGAAUCGUCAAUGUCGUGCUGGAAACUCAGCCACUGAACCAUACAUAGUUGCCCAUCAUCUGCUUCUUUCUCACGCUGCAGUUGUUAAAUUAUAUAGAGAAAAAUUCAAGCCAAUUCAUGGUGGCCAAAUUGGGAUAACACUCUUUACCUUCUGGUAUGAACCUUUGUCCAAUGAACCAGCGGAUGUAGAAGCAGCCAAAACAGCUCUUGAUUUCAUGUUUGGAUUGUGGAUGGAUCCUAUGACCUAUGGCACAUAUCCAAGAACUGUGAGGGAUUUAGUUGGAGAUAGAUUACCCAAGUUUACUGAUGAAGAAUCUAAGCUUCUUAGAGGAUCAUAUGAUUUUCUUGGGUUACAAUAUUACACUUCAUAUUAUGCAAAACCAAAUGCUAUAGUUGAUCCAAAUCGUAUUAGAUACAAAACCGAUAAUCAUAUUACCGAGACUCCAUAUGAUUAUGAUGGUAAUCUCAUUGGUCCACAGGCUUACUCAUCUUGGUUUUACAUUUUCCCAAAAGGCAUCCGACAUCUUUUGAAUUACACCAAAGACACAUACAAUAACCCAGUAAUUUAUAUUACUGAGAAUGGGGUUGACAAUAAUAAUAAUGAAACCCAACCCAUUGAGGAAGCGCUUCAGGAUGAAUUCAGAAUAAAUUAUUAUCGGAAGCAUUUGUGGAAUGCAUUGGGAUCCCUGAAGAAUUACUCAGUUAAUGUCAAAGGUUACUUUGCAUGGUCAUAUUUGGACAAUUUCGAAUGGAAUAUUGGUUAUACAUCAAGAUUUGGUUUGUACUAUGUAGACUACAAAGAUAACCUGAAAAGAUACCCCAAAGAUUCAGCUAAAUGGUUCACAAAAUUCCUGAAACAUUCGCCUAAGAAGCCAUUGCAAUCAAACAAGAUCUACGAGGUUACUUCAAGGAAUUCAAGGAAGGUUGGGAAAUACUACAUAAUGUAGCCUAUGUUGUGUGACUUUUAUGUGUCGCUUGCAAUUGAAUAAUAUCGUUGGACUACUCUCAGCUCCAAUGACCUAGAUUGUCUUGUAAUAGAUCUUUGGAUAUGUUAUGUUUCCUAUAGGAAUUUCAAGCUUGGGCUGUAUUGUUAUCCUAUCUUUGAAAUGAAUGUUACUGUCUAUCAUUUUGUGUUGUGUUUAAAGUUAAUGUUAUUACUAUCUUUUGAAAUUAAUCUAUGAAAAUAUUAAGUAGUAUCAUUUUACAUAAUCUGUGAAAAAAUACUUUCAAUGUGAAUGAAAAAAAU